rnacentral:rRNA from 1 species
AGAGUUUGAUCCUGGCUCAGGAUGAACGCUAGCUACAGGCUUAACACAUGCAAGUCGAGGGGCAGCAUGAAAGGAACUUCGGUUCUUUUUGAUGGCGACCGGCGCACGGGUGCGUAACGCGUAUCGAACCUGCCUCAUACUCGGGGAUAGCCUUGCGAAAGUAAGAUUAAUACCCGGCGGUCUCGGAUGGCCGCAUGACUGUCCGAGUGAAGAUUUAUCGGUAUGAGAUGGCGAUGCGUCCCAUUAGCUUGUUGGUGAGGUAACGGCUCACCAAGGCAUCGAUGGGUAGGGGUUCUGAGAGGAAGGUCCCCCACAUUGGAACUGAGACACGGUCCAAACUCCUACGGGAGGCAGCAGUGAGGAAUAUUGGUCAAUGGACGAAAGUCUGAACCAGCCAAGUAGCGUGCAGGACGACGGCCCUCUGGGUUGUAAACUGCUUUUAGUUGGGAAUAAAAAGAGGGACGUGUCCCUUAUUGUAUGUACCAUCAGAAAAAGGACCGGCUAAUUCCGUGCCAGCAGCCGCGGUAAUACGGAAGGUCCAGGCGUUAUCCGGAUUUAUUGGGUUUAAAGGGAGCGCAGGCGGCGGCGUAAGUCAGUUGUGAAAUCGUGCGGCUUAACCGUGCAAUUGCAGUUGAUACUGCGUCGCUUGAGUGCACACAGGGAUGUUGGAAUUCAUGGUGUAGCGGUGAAAUGCUUAGAUAUCAUGAAGAACUCCGAUCGCGAAGGCAUAUGUCCGGAGUGCAACUGACGCUGAGGCUCGAAAGUGUGGGUAUCAAACAGGAUUAGAUACCCUGGUAGUCCACACAGUAAACGAUGAAUACUCGCGGUUGGUUCGUUAGAGUCAGCCGCCAAGCGAAAGCGUUAAGUAUUCCACCUGGGGAGUACGCCGGCAACGGUGAAACUCAAAGGAAUUGACGGGGGCCCGCACAAGCGGAGGAACAUGUGGUUUAA